CCUUAUUAACACAACAUGUGGUUUAUUUUCUGGCAGCACUUCUGCCACAAAUUUGGCGAUGGAAACACUUUGCCCUUGAUGUUUUUUACAGUGGUUCACUGUGAUGGAAACCAGAGGCUUGCAAAGCAGAUUUGAACCCCAAACAGGCUCGGGGUUCGGGCAGUUGCAUUCCAGGAAGGAGCUUUUGCUUUAAAAGAAGGAGGGGGUCAAAAGCCAAUUUCCUCAGAAAUACUUUGGGGAGGAAGUGGGGAAGGUUGGCAGGUCAAGGCAAGUACAUGGCCAAAGGCGCUCUCAAUUGCAAUCUCUUUCACAGGAGUAACUUUUCUUUGGAAUCGGAUGCCCAACUUGUAAAAUCCCCCCUAGCCAGAAUGUGCAUCUUCCUUUGAAUGGCUACCUGUAGCGCCUCUGCUCAGAAGAGGACGGGGAAGGGCCGUGCAUCUGGAUCUGACCCCUUCUAAGUGGCUGCAGGGUGUCGUUGCUCACCUCCUCAGCGAGCAGCAGUCUCUGCAGAUGACCCGGCCGUGCGCUGGACGCAUGCCGGAAGCCGUGUGAAUCCCAGCUGUGCUACAGACAGUCUGGAUGGCUCCUGCGCUCCGGGACUCACGCGGCAGGGAGAUUCUCAGUCAUCCAGUCAGAGCUGAAGAAGUUCUUGGAUGAGAAGUGAAACGUCUUCAAAAGAAACACAAGAAAGUCCAGUUGCGUCCUGAAAAAGCACCUUUGCGAUAACCAUGACCCGGAUGACUGAGAAUCUCCAUAGAAAUUUAGCUACGCCCUUUGGGAUGAACACCCUUAGAAUGGUGAGAGAGCCUGAAUGGAUUUUGAGAAAAUAUUGCAGACUACAGGAACCAUUUGUGCUUCAGUUUGAGAUUCAGACAGCACAGACCCAUCCCCAAUAGCCUGUGUGCCUGUUUUCAACAGCGAAGGGACCCAGGGCAGAAAACUAGGAAGUUCCUCCAGCACUUCUCAGGUUAUCCCGAGGACACAGAGGUAAACCUCCAAAAUGGUUUCAGUGACUCUAAAAUCAAAUCCUUCCACUCCCCACCAUCUAGUCAGAGCUGAAGAAGUUUCUUGGAUAAGAAGCGAAACGUCUUCAAAAGAAACACAAGAAAGUCCAGUGGCCUCUUGAAAAGGGCAUCUUUGAGGCACUCAGCUUGUUGCGAAAAGCUGCUUUGGGCGAUUUCCCUGAUUGUGAAAGGAUUGUUAUUUUAAGGGAGACUUUUUCUUAUUUUGGGGAGACUGCUCCCCAGGUGAUUUUCUUUUUGAGGGAGGGGGGGCUCCCUACACGUGUCUGCUUCCACAUUAAUCCAUGCUGGAUCCUUUUUUCCUCCUAACCAACCUGCUCUGCUCUGUUUCUUCCCUAUGGAUGGCAAUGGCAACAAUAGAGGCAUUCAGGAUCAAAUAGGUUUCAUUUCAGGUGUAUUUCCGAUUUCAUACCUAACAUUUCCAGAGUGGCCAGAAGCAAAUAUUAUUAGUGUCAACAAUUACUGCAUUUGUGAAUAAAAUCGUAGUGGUAGAAUAAGGGGUGCGUGCAGCAGCAAGGAGAAAAAAUUUUUCAACUGAAAUGCUAAAAGGGAUUCCGGGACCAAAUUCGUAGUUAAAUUUCAUGGGAAAGAUGGUUUUGGUUGCUGUUAUAAACAUAGUUCGUCUCCAGCGAUGAAAAUUCACAAAAUUAAUUUUGCUCAAAUAAUGGGUGCGUGCAGCAGCGAGGCCAAAAAUUUUUUCAACCAAAAUGCUAAAACAUAGACCAAGACAAGCUUCUUGUUUAAAUUUCAUGAAUAAUAUGUUCUUGUUUGUUUUUUAAAAAAGUCAAACAUAUUUAGUCUGCAGCGACAAUUCUAAAAUUUGUUUUCUCAAGAUGAGGGUUGCUGCUGGCCAAAAUAUUUUUCAACUUGUUUGCUUUUUUAAAAAAAUCAACCAUUUCUUGUCUCCAGCGACGACAAUUUGGAAAAUUUCUGUUCCUGGGAUAAGGGGUGCGUAUGGCCCUGAGGCCAAAAUGUUUUUCAACUGAAAUGCUAAAGGAUGCUGGGACGAUUGGUGGUUAAAUUUCAUGGAUAAAAUGUUUGCUUUUUAAAAAAGUGAAACAUAAUUCGUCUCCAGCGAUGAAAUUUCAUAAAAUUUGUUUGCCAAGGACACGUGAGGUAGGGAGGCCAAUAAUUUUUUCAACUCAGGUGCUAAAACAGAUGCAGGAACUCUACUCUUUCUGUAGAGGAUAAACCAGGAUUUGGUCCAAACCUGGCAACUUUUAAACUUGGCUGACUGGAAAAUCUGGGAGUUGAAGUCCACAGAUCUGAAAGUUGUCAAGUUGGACACCCCAGGCAUACACUAUUUUCCCAAACAAUUCUGUGUGCUUUUAAGCAUGAAGUAAGAAAUUAUUUAAAAUAUAAAUGCUUGAAGUUGCAAACCAAAAACACCCCUGGAAUGCUAAGUAACUGAAAACGCCACUAGCAAUAAAAAAUUUAGUAUCAACAUGUAUUUAAAUGCCCUUUGGGCAUAUGACUAAGUUUUGCAGGAGGGGAGAAAAAAGGGUUGUUCACACAUUACAACUUUUGUGACCUCUGAUGCUGACACCCCCAUUCCAUCCCCAGGAAAACCACAGCUAACACCAAGUAGGGCUUGAACUAUUGUAUGAGUUCUGGAAAGGCUGCAGAUCAAACACCAUGUCCGGUGGGGGUGAUUCACAACUAGUGCAAAAUCUGGGACAGCCUGAUCAUUUUGCACACUCUUUUUUAAAAAAGCACUUGUAUGUUAAGACAAAGGCUAAUAUCCCUUCCAAGAAGUGCAAAAGCUUUGAUAAGCAAAGCUAUACUUCAUAUUACAUGCAGUGGGGCUGAGGACUACAGCACUUUAGAAAUAACGAAUGCGGAGUAUGCUGCAUUAAUUAAUUUCCAUUGGGCUGCCACCUAAUUAAACAAAUCUUUUAUUAACUGUAUUAACUGUGUAUUGACUACUCAAUCACAACUGCAUACAUUUGCAUAUGAAUGACAGUUCUGAAGAAAACCAUUCUUUGGUUCUUGAACAACGGAUGUCUUUAUACCACAGCUGGGCUUUCUCAAUAUGAAAGCUCUCAAAAUUUCCCAAUUUUUUCACAUGAAAAAGAACUGGCUCUCUUUUGGUUCCUUUCCUGAUUAAAUGUUGCAAUUACAAGAAGAUUCCAAAUUGUUCAUGUUUCUCAAUAAGGUGAAGACAGUGUCAGAUGAAUGGAGAGCCAUAUAGCAGGUAGGAGAGUCCAGGAUCAAUAAUGAGAUAAACAGCUUAAAAUAACCGAGAAGUAUAAAAACAAGUUUGCCAGCUUGCCCUGAGUAGAAAUUUUGAAAAAUAUAAAAUCUGGAUUUUCAGCGGUACAACCAUAAACAUGAUUAAGAAGUCUGAGAUGGCACGCCAAGUUCAGUAAAGCAGGUUCACGCUAUCCCAAUUAAUUGCUCAAGUGUAUUUUAAAUUCAUGCUGGUAAAAGUUAAAAUCGGUUGGGAAUGUAGAAUAAUGCAGACGUUUCACUACUGAAUUUAGUAGACAAUUUUACUGAUUUGUUUCACGUUGCCUUUAAAAUUGAUACCAGCUCUGAGGCCCAUCCCAGUUUUAGUGCAUUUUUAAAAUAAUAGGCAUACAUAAAAAUUUUACAUAAAAAACUCCUGAUGAGACAUGCCCCGGUGCCCAGUAGAGCAGAGCAUCAGAAUCCUCCCUUUAGAAUAAUCAACAUGAUUUUGCUCAUUUGGACUGGACUCAAGCAAGGACAAGUUGGGUGGCUGCAUAAGUGAGGCCCCCACCUCCAGGUUCCCUGAAAUGCAUAGGAUCAUUCAGCGUGAGCUCCCCACUGUUCUGAGAAGCUCACAUGAAUCAAUGAGAUGUCCAAGAAACAGACGCAGCAGUGAUCCCGCCCGAUCACCAUCUAAAAAAUUUCUGGCUGGUGACAGCUUUCCACAAGUAGCCCACCAAAGGUCUGAAGGUGUGAACUAGCUGGAGUUACAAGUUCAGCUUCUUUCUGCUGAGAGCAAGGUGGCAAAGACAUUUUUCUCUUUAAAACCUGGUUAAGAGAUUAAGCAGAAUGGAAGUAAAAUAUAUCUUCCCGUAAUAAACAAAA